rnacentral:rRNA from 1 species
UGAGGAAUUUUCCGCAAUGGGCGAAAGCCUGACGGAGCGACGCCGUGUGGGUGAUGAAGGCCUUCGGGUCUUAAAGCCCUGUCAGCAGAGACGAUAUUGACGGUAUCUGCAGAGGAGGCCCCGGCUAACUACGUGCCAGCAGCCGCGGUAAUACGUAGGGGGCAAGCGUUGUCCGGAAUCAUUGGGCGUAAAGCGCAUGUAGGCGGCUUUGUAAGUCAAAUGUCAAAUCCCCGGGCUCAACCCGGGUCAGCAUUUGAUACUGCGAAGCUAGAGAGAUAAAGAGGAAAGCGGAACUUCAGGUGUAGCGGUGAAAUGCGUAGAUAUCUGAAGGAACACCAGUGGCGAAGGCGGCUUUCUGGUUAUUUUCUGACGCUGAGAUGCGAAAGCUAAGGGAGCAAACGGG